AAGCCAGGAAAAAUGGCCAGUGUUUCAUGCACUGGGUUUCUAGAGAGAUCUAUCAUGGCCAUCCCAUAUCUGCUCGAAAUUUGCCCGUUGAUGAUUAUCCACUAAACUUGUUCUAAAUUAUUGAUGAAAUCAUGUUGAUUCUUGGGGUUGUUUGGUGGAUAAUUUUGAGUUUGGGGAAGAUGAUA